GCCUGCUCAGUCGCUCAGUUGUGUCGGACUCUUUUUGCGACCCUGUGGACUGUAGCCCACCAGGCUCUUCUGUCCACGAGAUUUCCAAGGCAAGAAGACUGCAGUGGGUUGCCGUUUCCUUCUCCAGGGAAUCUUCCCCACCCAGGGAUUGAACCUGCAUCUCCUGCAUCGGCAGGCACAUUCAUUACCACUGAGCCACCUGGGAACCCUGUAUUUUAACAUGCAGUGAUCUUAAUAUAUAAUGAGAGCACAUCAGAAUCUGGCGAGGCUCCUGCUCCCCCAGCACCUCCCUGGAACACCAUGGCUGCUUGGAAAAUAUUUAUGCUGAUGACAAAGGUGAUGGCCCAGCAAAGGAGAUUCGGCAGUGGAAAAAGAAGAGGAAAGAAUCCUGGAUUUUUGGUCCUACCACUGCUUCUUCAGUCUGGACCGAUGACCUCAGUCCUUACCAUGAAGUGACGGCAGGCAAGCCUCCCUCGCUCCCCUGCCCCUUGAGCCCCAAGACUGCUCUCUCACCCUCUCUCCUCCCCUAUGCCCCCACUUUCUGGGAAGAAGGGAGUGACCCCUGCUCUAGUGUCUCUGUUCCAUCUCCUUUCUCCCCCCGCCAGCUCAUAACUCCAUCUAUUUCCCCUAUGUCUUCUCUCUCUCCCUCUCUUAGCUGACUUAAUUAUUAGCAUUCAAACACGAACAAAUAACUCCAUCAUUAAAAAUAAAAGUCCCCCUCCAGUAAGCACUCUCUCUUUGCACCCCCGUGGCUCCCCGCGUGGCCCAAACAGUAAAGAAUUUGCCUGCAACGCGGGACACCUGGAUUCUACCCCUGGGAUGGGGAAGAUCCCCUGGAGGAGGGCAUGGCAACCCACUCCAGUGUUCUUGCCUG